UUCCGUUUUGCUGUGUCUAAAACAUUUGACUAUAGACUGAGUACUCUAUGUUAUCAAUGAACCACCUUAUGAACUGUAGAUCUGGAAUCAAAAGCCUUUUUGUUUUCACUCCCCCUGCUGUUUCCCCUGCAGGGAAAGCAGGCUGCUCUCAGCCUUUGCCACCUGGCUGGGCAAGGCCCCUGCAGACAGCAAUGAGCCAGGUGGGAGCAGCCCCAGGGUAGUAGGCGGGGCAGGCGCCGAGGGCACUUCAGGCUGGAGAGGCUCAGGCAAGCUGGCGGAUGCCCCCACCUCACCGGAGGCAGAACCCCAAGGAGUGGAACCGCAAGGAGCUAACCAGAGCCACACAGCAAAGAGGGGCAAGGAAUAGCAGCCAGAGUCCCUGGCCGGGAGAAGGCCGGGAGAAGGCCAAGGAGCCUGCACCCAGCGCUGCCACUGCCACUGCAACGACCCCUCUGUCACCAGACUGAGCAGGAGGAGUCCUGCAGGCCCGAAUAAGCGCAAGCCUCCUAGUCAAUGGAGGUGGGCUUCAGAGAGGCAACAACUGGUGCCACCCCAAUGAGGAGGGGCGGGGGACACGGAACUAACAGUAUUCUUAAAGGUACAUCGGCCUUUUGAUACGAACUAUGGAUGGCAGAGAAACUUUUUCUCACCAUGACUAAGAAGAUCAAAGAAGAAAUCUUCCCAAGGUUUGGCCUGCCCAAGGCGCCGUUGAAAGCUCUCCAGAUCUCCAAGCCCAGGCAUAGAGAUCGCUGGCCACCCUGACACCGGGAAAUCUCGCAUUCGUUCCAGAAUUGGCGCCUGGGGUGUAUCCAGAGGGACAUGAAAAAAGCACAGCACCCCGCAGCCAGAACAGCAGCCGCCUGCUCAUACCUGCAAUCCAUGUCUCCUCAAGCCCUUGCUUUGAUACCCCUGCCCUCACCCCUGAUUUCUGUCAACUAGUAGCAGGGCUAGCCUCCUGGGAUAUCCGAGAUGCAUAUCCCCCACAGCUGCCCCUGGAGGCUGGCAGAAGAUUUUCCCCUGGAGGAAAUAGUUGGGUGUGGGGGUCCAGAACACAGAUGCCACCUGGGAAAGCUAGAUUUUUAUACUGUGAUUCCUGAAAAUAUAAAAUUACAAUGCUCCAUGUGGAGCACAGGGACAUAUGACAUCUCCCCCACUUGUCUCCCAGGGGCCAGCAAUGGGACUGUCUCCAUGGAUGUUGGGAAGGACUUGGGACAUGAGAUGAUAUUUAAAACCAAGUACUAUCUGACCAGAGCCUGCUGCUGCUGGCCAGAUUAGACCCCCCUAAAGGGGCCCUAAUUAGUCCUGCUGCUGCCCGCUGGACUAAGCUACUCUCCCUGCUUCUCUGUUGGAACCUCCCAACGCCAGCCCGGGCACCUGGAAAUCUCACACCCGUUCCAGGUUGGCGAUUCUGUGUACGUCCGGAGACACCGGUCCCAGAACCUUGAACCUCGCUGGAAGGGACCCUACACCUUGCUUCUUAAGACACCUACUGCCCUAAAAAUGGAUGAUAUUGUAGCCUGGAUCCACGCGUCUCACGUCAAGCCUGCACCUCCACAGGACGACCCAGGACCUUCCAAAUAAAAGCUUCAGCGUACCCAAAAUCCUCUCAAGGAGGCCUGAUUCUGCCAGGCUUGCUGAUCUUUGCCCUGAUGUUUAUAACUUAGGACUUAACCUGAACCCUGACUAACUUUGAGACUGGGCAAGCCUUAAGGCUAGCCACUGGAGUUCAUCCCCUGAAUAACUUUUGACCUAUGUGUUUUAGCAAAAGACUCUUGGGAGGAUACUGAGCAAACCCCCAGAAACUCUUGUUCUGCAUGCAAAUAUUCUAAAUGAUAUAUUUGUCUGGGGGGAAAGCAAACUCUGUAGUACGGGGGACCUAAAGUAUUUUGUUAUGCUAUCUGAUGAUGUAAAACCAAUGUCAAUGUCUCCUGGUUGGGGGUUAGCAAAAAGCACGAAAUGGUUAACAGGCAAUCCUUGGGGUUUACAGUUGUAUGAUCCAGGAAGAAAAGACAUAGGAAUUCUGCUUACCCUGCGAAUUGUUGUAACACCUCCCAUGGCCAUGGUACUAGGGCCCAACCCAGUAUUGCCUGACCAGGGCCAGCUAGCCCUUGCUGAGGUAGCCCCCUUUGCCAGGGCCCUGGGCCCCACUCCUAGUGCUAAGAACCCUUCUGCAACCCCUGCUUCAUUGCUGGCAACCUCUAAUACAGGCCAGCGACUGUUUAGUCUGAUAAUGGGAGACUUUUCUUUGCUAAAUAGUACUGACUCCAGCUUGAUACAAUCUUGCUGGCUAUGCCUGUCAGCAGGACCUC